AACGCGGCUGUAAAGCCUGUGUUCGCGGUCUUUCUUUCGGCUUUCGCUUCCGGCUGCUAGAGUCUGGUCCCUGUUCGUGCAGAGGACUGUGAUCUAGGACAGUGAUCUCCUCUACCCUCAAGUCGUUUCCAGACUAGUCACGGGGUUGCUGGCCUACUUACUGAAUGCAAAGCCACAGAACAAAGAGGCCUGAAAGAAGCGGCCCAAGGACGGUUGCUGGGACGAGAGGAGGCCCCGCA